GCCGAUUAGGUGUUAUACAUAUCAGUUUUUCGUGUUGGGGUGGAUUUUUAGGUCAUUCGGCA
rnacentral:tRNA from 1 species